GAUGAACGCUGGCGGCGUGCCUAAUACAUGCAAGUCGAGCGAACAGACGAGGAGCUUGCUCCUCUGACGUUAGCGGCGGACGGGUGAGUAACACGUGGAUAACCUACCUAUAAGACUGGGAUAACUUCGGGAAACCGGAGCUAAUACCGGAUAAUAUAUUGAACCGCAUGGUUCAAUAGUGAAAGACGGUUUUGCUGUCACUUAUAGAUGGAUCCGCGCCGCAUUAGCUAGUUGGUAAGGUAACGGCUUACCAAGGCAACGAUGCGUAGCCGACCUGAGAGGGUGGUCGGCCACACUGGAACUGGGACACGGUCCAGACGCCUAAGGGAGGGAGCAGUAGGGAAUCUGCCGCAAUGGGCGGAAGCCUGACGGAGCAACGCCGCGUGAGUGAUGAAGGUCUUCGGAUCGUAAAACUCUGUUAUUAGGGAAGAACAAAUGUGUAAGUAACUAUGCACGUCUUGACGGUACCUAAUCAGAAAGCCACGGCUAACUACGUG
rnacentral:rRNA from 1 species